UACGGAGGGGGCAAGCGUUAUUCGGAAUUAUUGGGCGUAAAGGGCGCGUAGGCGGCUUAUCAAGUCGGGGGUGAAAGCCCGUGGCUCAACCACGGAAUGGCCUUCGAUACUGGUAGGCUUGAGACCGGAAGAGGACAGCGGAACUGCGAGUGUAGAGGUGAAAUUCGUAGAUAUUCGCAAGAACACCAGUGGCGAAGGCGGCUGUCUGGUCCGGUUCUGACGCCGAGGCGCGAAAGCGUGGGGAGCAAACCGG
rnacentral:rRNA from 1 species